rnacentral:rRNA from 1 species
AUUGAACGCUGGCGGCAUGCCUUACACAUGCAAGUCGAACGGCAGCACGGGUGCUUGCACCUGGUGGCGAUUGGCGAACGGGUGUGUAAUACAUCGGAACAUGUCCUUUAGUUGGGGUUAGCCCGGCGAAAGCCGGUUUAAUACCGCAUACGAUCUACGGAUGAAAGCGUGGGACCUUCUGGCCUCGCGCUUUUGGGUUUGCCGUUGGCUGAUUAGCUAGUUGGUGGGGUAAAGGCCUACCAAGGCGACGAUCAGUAGCUGGUCUGAGAGGAGGACCAGCCACACUGGGAGUGAGACACGGACAAGACUCCGACGGGAGGAAGCAGUGGGGAAUUUUGGACAAUGGGCGAAAGCAUGAUACAGCAAUGCCGCGUGUGUGAAGAAGGACUUCGGGUUGUAAAGCACUUUUGUCCGGAAAGAAAAGCUUGGCCCUAAUACGGUCGGGGGAUGACGGUACCGGAAGAAUAAGCACCGGCUAACUACGUG